UACGUAGGGCGCAAGCGUUGUCCGGAAUUAUUGGGCGUAAAGAGCUCGUAGGCGGUCUGUCGCGUCUGCCGUGAAAACCCGAGGCUUAACCUCGGGCUGGCGGUGGAUACGGGCAGACUAGAGGUAGGUAGGGGAGAAUGGAAUUCCUGGUGUAGCGGUGGAAUGCGCAGAUAUCAGGAGGAACACCGGUGGCGAAGGCGGGUCUCUGGGCAGUAACUGACGCUGAGGAGCGAAAGCGUGGGGAGCGAACAGG
rnacentral:rRNA from 1 species